rnacentral:tRNA from 1 species
CCCUGGGUGGCUCAGUCGGUUGGGCAUCUGACUUUGGCUCAGGUCAUGAUCUCCUGGUUCGUGGGUUCGAGCCCUGUGUCAGGGC